CAUGUUAGAUGCCUUGUUCAGUGGUCUGCAUAUGGGCAUCCACCACAGUGGUCCAGACAUGAAAAUCACCAACCGGGUUUUGGGAAGAAAGUCCAUAUGGGAGUGAUGACAAGCAACAAUCCUUCUGUGCUCCAAAGAAGAGAAAUUGAAUAAUCUUUGACUGACAUGGAGACAAGAAGAGAGACCAUCGUUUCCUCCCCAUCCUGAUCUACGUGUCCCACACCACCAAGAAUGUGCCAGGGUAUUCAUGAAGCACCUAGUAUGCGCCAGGCACCGUACCGAGCGCCGGUUCCGGUACCGAUCAUGGGUUCGGACGGAGAAGAAAGGGUGGAUUCUAAAGAUGUC